GCCUCGUUAGCUUAGUUGGUAGUGCGUCUGCCUUGUAAGCCCUAGGCCGCGGGUUCGAUUCCCGCCCGGGGUG
rnacentral:tRNA from 1 species